CCGUACUGUUACGAAGCAGUCGCUUGGCGCUGAUGGGGAUUUGAUUUGAUUUGAUUUAUUUCGUGUUCCAUAGGUCCAACUGUGUUGGAUACACAUGGACGUGGAACGAAAUUGAAUAAAGCUGGUCUUACUGGAAUUUAAUGAGAGACCAUUCACCUUGAACCAAUUAACCACAUCUGAGGGAAGAACUACUGUAACUUGAGAUGUAAGUGGCAAAAUGUAAAUACCGCCCAAGGUUUAGGCCUGAGCACUGUUUGCAGUUGCUGCCUGCUGCCUGCAAGGCAGUACAAGGAGCAUUCUACGAUUGUAAGACGUGAGACUGGCAUUGCCAGUAAACUAAUCCUGCUUCUCUAUUCGAGCAGCUCCUCAUUUGGCCUCUCUAAGGGGGUACCAGAAACUGAACCUGGGUUCUUGUGCACCAUAGGCAGCAGUGAUGCUAACCAUUCGGCUGCAGAAGCAAUUGAGAUGUAAAUGAUUAUCUGAUGCAAUAGGAAAUUACUUAAUUGUUCAAUUUUGACAUACUAUGAACUGUACAAUACUC